CCAAUAGCGUACUAUUAAAGUUGUUGCAGUUAAAAAGCUCGUAGUUGAACCUUGGGUCUGGCUGGCCGGUCCGCCUCACCGCGAGUACUGGUCCGGCUGGACCUUUCCUUCUGGGGAACCUCAUGGCCUUCACUGGCUGUGGGGGGAACCAGGACUUUUACUGUGAAAAAAUUAGAGUGUUCAAAGCAGGCCUUUGCUCGAAUACAUUAGCAUGGAAUAAUAGAAUAGGACGUGCGGUUCUAUUUUGUUGGUUUCUAGGACCGCCGUAAUGAUUAAUAGGGAUAGUCGGGGGCGUCAGUAUUCAGCUGUCAGAGGUGAAAUUCCUGGAUUUGCUGAAGACUAACUACUGCGAAAGCAUUCGCCAAGGAUGUUUUCAUUAAUCAGGGAACGAAAGUUAGGGGAUCGAAGACGAUCAGAUACCGUCGUAGUCUUAACCAUAAACUAUGCCGAC
rnacentral:rRNA from 1 species